CCGGAGCUAACGCGUUAAGUAGACCGCCUGGGGAGUACGGCCGCAAGGUUAAAACUCAAAUGAAUUGACGGGGGCCCGCACAAGCGGUGGAGCAUGUGGUUUAAUUCGAUGCAACGCGAAGAACCUUACCUGGUCUUGACAUCCACAGAAGAAUCCAGAGAUGGAUUUGUGCCUUCGGGAACUGUGAGACAGGUGCUGCAUGGCUGUCGUCAGCUCGUGUUGUGAAAUGUUGGGUUAAGUCCCGCAACGAGCGCAACCCUUAUCCUUUGUUGCCAGCGGUCCGGCCGGGAACUCAAAGGAGACUGCCAGUGAUAAACUGGAGGAAGGUGGGGAUGACGUCAAGUCAUCAUGGCCCUUACGACCAGGGCUACACACGUGCUACAAUGGCGCAUACAAAGAGAAGCGACCUCGCGAGAGCAAGCGGACCUCAUAAAGUGCGUCGUAGUCCGGAUUGGAGUCUGCAACUCGACUCCAUGAAGUCGGAAUCGCUAGUAAUCGUGGAUCAGAAUGCCACGGUGAAUACGUUCCCGGGCCUUGUACACACCGCCCGUCACACCAUGGGAGUGGGUUGCAAAAGAAGUAGGUAGCUUAACCUUCGGGAGGGCGCUUACCACUUUGUGAUUCAUGACUGGGGUGAAGUCGUAACAAGGUAACCGUAGGGGAACCUGC
rnacentral:rRNA from 1 species